CUGAGUGUCAGCACGAAACGGUCUCGUUAGCCCAGCCGCCCCAGUGUCGCAGCUGCCGCAGCAUGAGAUCCCUCCUUGGUUCUUGUCCUUUCAAAUCUGUCUGCCCCUGCUGCUGUCGUCAUCUUCAUGGGUAGCAAACCAAACCGUAGCAUAAGGAAACCAUAUCUGCAACGUUUCCCCAAUUUGUGGGCUAAUAAAUUUGUCCAAAAAAGUAAUGAAGGUCACCUGACAUGCACUCUUCUGUAAGUAAUCAGGCCCACAAAGAGAUGGGACCUGUCUAAGGCUAUACGGGUUUCUGAUUAACAACCAGAACCAAAGCUGAAGAUUAGCCCCUCUGGUCUUGUGUAGCCCUUACCAGUGUAACCUGGCUUCCCUGCCCAACCUGGAGCAUUUUGCAUAAGGCUCUUAUAACUGGUGGAGAAAAUGCUGAUGUGAUGCUACCUGCUUGUGUGAGGAGGAGAAUUUGCCUUUGAGCUUUGGAGAGGAGAGACUCUUUAUUUCUUCUUUGAGAUGCUCAUGGUUCCUGAUUCUUUUUGGGACUGACUCCAGGGAUGCAAAAAAGAAAGAUUGUUUUGCCAGCAUGUAGAGGAGACUGGCUCUUCAACAUGUCAACUUGCCUCCCUAGAGACUCCAGGGAAUUUGUCUUUGUGAGAGAUCAGGAUCUCUUUCUAUUUCUCUUGAUUGAGUGAAACCUCAUCUCAUUGCCAUCUAAGAAACUUACUCACAUUUGGGUCUUUUUUGGUAUAGCUUUAUUAUUAUAACUUCUCUUUUCUACUUCUUUUUGCUACUUCUCUUUGCUACUUGUGUGGAUUUACUCACUGUUCACUAUUUGUGAUGUUCUUUUGUGUAACCAGUGUUUGGCAGGAAAAGGUGAAACAUUAAAUAUAAACUUGGGGUACCCUUCCCCUAAAGAAUAGUGUCCAGGAAAGACUUUUUUUUGUUAUCAACCAAUGUGUCCCUAGACCAGCAAUAUUUUUGGAUGAUCUACAUCUGUAUUGAUAUCAAUAUCAGUAUCUAUGAUAUCAAUAUCAAUAUCUAUGUCCACUUUGCAUCUAUCUGCUGCUCUUCCUGGUUUCAAUUCGAUGGAACAAGAUGUCUCUAAGCCAGGUACUCCCUGGUGUCCUCCACCCCUUUCAUGCCUCCUUUUCUGUGUUGUCUUCCCUCCAAUAGACUAAGUUUCUUAAGAGCAGGAGUUGUCUUUUUUUUUGGGGGGGGGGUAUUCCCAGUGCUUAGCACUGUGCCUGGUACAUAGGAACUUAAUAAAUGUUUAUUGGAGAGAAGUGAAUAUCAUAUCCAAAUUAUCUAUAUGUAUACUUAUGUCAUCUAUAUAUCAUUCUAAUCUGGUAUUCCUCUCCCAGAAGACAACAGAGUGGCCCACCUCUUAGCUCUUGUCCUGGUCCCCUCAAGGUCAGAAUCACUGUUUCCCUUGGAGAGGAGAGGACAAAAUUUCAGAGAUACCUGUCAAUGCCUCCAGUAGAGUUACCUGUCUAUAUAGUUAAACAUACAGUGUAGACAAACACAUGAUAGGCAUCACAUACCUUACAUUCCUUAUACUAGGAAGAAUAAAAUGUUCAGAUUUGUGAAUGAGGCCUCUUCCUAAAAUGUCUAUUGUUCUUUCCUUUUACAUAAAAUUCUUGGACUCAGUCAACAUACUUACACAUCCAUAAGUUGAAAUCUUUGCUGAACUUACUUUGCUAUACAAUAUUCUGACCCUUUCACCGUGCUAUAUAUCCAGUGAUCAAGGGAUUUUUUUAAAAAGACCUUUCUAUUCACAGCUGUUCAAGUUAUGUGGGUAUUUGUGAGCAUUGGGUGAGCACUGGUUUUUAGUGAGAAAUUAUUUUACAAUUUGAAUUCAUAGUAAAAGCUUUAAAAACAUGAUCUGAACUGGAAAAUGACUUCUGUAAUAUCUCUGGAGGGAAAAUCCUUUUAUUAAUACAAUCAGCUAUUGGAUGUCA